UCCUCUGCAGACCAGCCUCAGAGUGCUGCACUCCGUGGCCUCGAUCCUGACAGCAAAUUCUUGCAGAAACCAUUGGACCAACUGAUGCCCAGUGCUCAGAGUUAUUACAGUCUUCCUUUAAGCCACCCAGAUUAAUGGAACAAAUUCUCAUUCAGAGAAAUCAGGAAAACACCCAGACUGAGGCCAGGGGCUGAUCAUUAAAGACUGAGUUCUUGGUGUUACCUGGUAAGCUUCUGAAUCGACCAAGUACCAUAAAGUGUAAUUUCUAAAUGUCACAUCAGCCUCA